rnacentral:lncRNA from 1 species
GAUCCAAGAAGGCAUUUGAGCUGAUCUUAUUUGGUAAAACAGAAAAGAUUGGCCUUCAGCCCCCAUGCAGAUCCUCAGAUAACGAGUGAAUAAGGAAUAAAUAACAAACAAAUCUUUCAAGAUAAGGAAAGAUAAUAGCCAAAUCUUAUCAAAUAAAGUAAGAUUAAUUGUCUGAUCCUCCUUCCUUCUCACGGCUCUU